CGGGCCGUAGCGCAGUUUGGUAGCGCACUUGCAUGGGGUGCAAGUGGUCGCUGGUUCGAAUCCAGUAGGCCCGACCA
rnacentral:tRNA from 1 species